AGCUUUGCACAGUGGCAGUAUCAUAGCCAAUGAGUUUCAUCCAAGGCACGAUUAUUGCUAAUUUAAAAGAAACAACUUCCAAAUUCCAGAUACUGGUGAAGUUGAUCAAUAUCUUUUUUUUUUUUUUUUAAUGUUUGUUCAU